GAUGAAGAACGUAGCGAAAUGCGAUAAGUAAUGUGAAUUGCAGAAUUCAGUGAGUCAUCGAAUCUUUGAACGCACAUUGCGCCCCUUGGUAUUCCGGGGGGCAUGCCUGUUCGAGCGUCAUUAUAACCCCUCAAGCUCAGCUUGGUGUUGGGGCCUGCCAACUGGCAGCCCUUAAAAUCAGUGGCGGCGCCAUCUGGCUCUAAGCGUAGUAAUUUCUCUCGCUAUAGGGUCCCGGUGGAUGCUUGCCAACAACCCCCAAUUUUCUAUGGUUGACCUCGGAUCAGGUAGGGAUACCCGCUGAACUUAAGCAUAUCAAUAAGCGGAGGA
rnacentral:misc_RNA from 1 species